CCUACGGGAGGCAGCAGUGAGGAAUAUUGGUCAAUGGGCGCGAGCCUGAACCAGCCAAGUAGCGUGAAGGAUGACUGCCCUACGGGUUGUAAACUUCUUUUAUAAGGGAAUAAAAGGAUGCACGUGUGGGUUUUUGUAGGUACCAUAUGAAUAAGGAUCGGCUAAAUCCGUGCCAGCAGCCGCGGUAAUACGGAGGAUCCGAGCGUUAUCCGGAUUUAUUGGGUUUAAAGGGAGCGCAGGUGGGUUGUUAAGUCAGUUGUGAAAGUUUGCGGCUCAACCGUAAAAUUGCAGUUGAUACUGGCAGUCGUGAGUACAGUAGAGGUAGGCGGAAUUCGUGGUGUAGCGGUGAAAUGCUUAGAUAUCACGAAGAACUCCGAUUGCGAAGGCAGCUCACUGGACUGCAACUGACACUGAGGCUCGAAAGUGUGGGUAUCAAACAGGAUUAGAUACCCCGGUAGUC
rnacentral:rRNA from 1 species